GGGGAUGUGGUUUAGUGGUAUAAUACCUCUUUAGCAAGUGAGCGUCCUUUCAGGUUGUUCGGUAACUUAGAGGUGGUCCGGGGUUCGAUUCCCCGCGUCUCCA